rnacentral:misc_RNA from 1 species
GAUGAAGAACGUAGCGAAAUGCGAUAAGUAAUGUGAAUUGCAGAAUUCAGUGAAUCAUCGAAUCUUUGAACGCACAUUGCGCCCGCCAGUAUUCUUGCGGGCAUGCCUGUUCGAGCGUCAUUUCAACCCUCAAGCCCCCGGGCUUGGUGUUGGGGAUCGGCGUGCCCUCGCGGCGCGCCGUCCCCUAAAUCUAGUGGCGGUCUCGCUGUAGCUUCCUCUGCGUAGUAGCAACACUCGCACUGGAUCGCAGCGCGGCCACGCCGUUAAACCCCCCACUUCUGAAAGUUUGACCUCGGAUCAGGUAGGAAUACCCGCUGAACUUAAGCAUAUCAAUAAGCGGAGGA